rnacentral:rRNA from 1 species
AACGAACGCUGGCGGCAUGCCUAACACAUGCAAGUCGAACGAGACCCCUGACUUCGGUUGGCGGGUCUAGUGGCGCACGGGUGCGUAACGCGUGGGAAUCUGCCCUUGGGUUCGGAAUAACUCAGAGAAAUUUGAGCUAAUACCGGAUGAUGACGAAAGUCCAAAGAUUUAUCGCCCAGGGAUGAGCCCGCGUAAGAUUAGCUUGUUGGUGGGGUAAUGGCCUACCAAGGCGACGAUCUUUAGCUGGUCUGAGAGGAUGAUCAGCCACACUGGGACUGAGACACGGCCCAGACUCCUAUGGGAGGCAGCAGUGGGGAAUAUUGGACAAUGGGCGCAAGCCUGAUCCAGCAAUGCCGCGUGAGUGAUGAAGGCCUUAGGGUUGUAAAGCUCUUUUACCAGGGAUGAUAAUGACAGUACCUGGAGAAUAAGCUCCGGCUAACUCCGUG